AGGGUUUGAUUCUGGCUCAGGACGAACGCUGGCGGCGUGCCUAACACAUGCAAGUCGAACGGAGAUAAGCGCUGAAUGGAGAGCAGCUUGCUGAAGGAAAUUCUUGUUUAUCUUAGUGGCGGACGGGUGAGUAACGCGUGAGCAACCUGCCUUUCAGAGGGGGAUAACGUCUUGAAAAGGACGCUAAUACCGCAUGAGACUACAGCCUCGCAUGGGGUGGUGGUCAAAGGAGCAAUCCGCUGAAAGAUGGGCUCGCGUCCGAUUAGGUAGUUGGCGGGGUAGAGGCCCACCAAGCCGACGAUCGGUAGCCGGACUGAGAGGUUGAACGGCCACAUUGGGACUGAGACACGGCCCAG
rnacentral:rRNA from 1 species